rnacentral:lncRNA from 1 species
AAAAAUUAUUUAUUUAGUUGAAGUUCUUCUAUUCCUAUAAUUGGAUUUCAAAACGUGUGAAUAUUUGAAAAAAUAAACAAUUAAAAUGUGGAAAUUUCAUUCCAUGUGAAUUUUACCUUCAAAAAAAGUUUUAUGUUUUGAUUGCUAAGUUGUAAUGAUAUGCAUUUGCAAUUUGACUACAGUCUAUUGUUUCUAGUAUUCUAGUAAGACAGUGUGAAUCCCAUAGAAUCUUGUCUAAUAUCAUGAUAAAACUGGUGAUAAAAAGUCUCUUGCCAAUAACAAAAAGUGGUAAAUCUUCAUUGUAUGUAAAGAUUUUUUCAAUCUUGAAAAUCUGCAUUAUUAUUAUAUUAGUGGAGUUGAAGACUUUAAGAUCAAUGUCAUAUCUAAAAUAUUAUAUAUAUAUAUAUAUAUAUAUACAUACAUAUACUGAAUUCUUGCUCUUAAAUGUUUAUGCCUUACUUAUUGUUAAAAUUUCGUCAACAUUCAGGUGCACACAAAUUUCAAACAAUGUCAUCAAGAUAUGAUUUACUCUAUUUCAAUAAUUUCUUUGAGUACCUUUUUAAUAUUUUAUCUUAUUUGGUUUGUGUGCAGAGUAUAUACAAUCUUUUGUAAACAUUGACGAAUUAAUAUAAGUUUUAUUCAAAUUUUCAAGUAUAAUUAGAGUAUUAUUAGAAAUCCCUUUAACUUCAUGUCAUCUGAUGUUUUAAUUUUUAUACAUUUUAAAUACCAUAAAAUAAACAUGUAUAAUUAUUAACAUAUCAUGAAAAUUAAAUAAAAAUAAUAUAACACUAAGAAUCAAUCAUACUUUCACAAAACAUAGGAUUAAAUACCUUAAAUUAAAUGGGUGCAACUAGAUAUGGUCAAUCACUCUUGUUCAUUCAAGUAAACUCCACCACCUCAUAUGUACAUGGUAGCUCUUCAUAGUACGUGGCAACUGACACCCCUUCUUCACUCAAAUAGAUGCCAUAGUUCCAUACUUUAUUAGAUUUGAGCAUGUGAUGGCUUUUUGAAGAGCUAUUUAGUUCUUAUAUAUACACACCAAAUCUCAAAGCUAUGGAUCAUGUUAACACAAAGCAAGUGACUCUUCUUUAUCAAAAAAAAAAAAAAAAAAAAAAAAAAAACACCACAAUUUCCUACUAACUCCUCUUUAAGUGAAUGAGAGCUUUUUGGAAAGCUUAUGAAGAGAGGAACAACUCCUCAAAAUCUCAAACCCAAAUUCUCACAAUAUUUUAUAUUAUUUUUACGUAUUAUACCACUUUCCAGCAUGACAUUGCUGCCAAGAACUUAUUAUGAUAUUGUACCAAGUCUUUAAUAUUGUUGUUAAAAAUUACAUAGUGACACAACUGAAAACUUUGGUUGAAGAAAAUAACCUUGUGUAUACAAUCAAAAGCUUGAAUAUUUGUAUAUGUAUAUAUGCAAAAGAAAGAAAACAAGAAAGAGAAGGAAACAUACUAAUAGAAAAAUGAUACUUCAUUUUUCAAAAAUGGUAUGAAUUCUUUAAACAAAUGUGGAUGGGAGUUUCAAUAGACAUGGGAUGAAAUGGAAAGCAAUGGUAAAAAAAAAAAAAAUCUGCAUCUUUUUCCUUUCUUUAUAUGGCUGCAACAGUCACUGCAGAUGCAUCAACAGAAAGCCCCCCUUUUCAAAUGUCAAAAUACGGGGAUAAAAAAGCAGGUACCCAAGUCAAUGCCAA